rnacentral:rRNA from 1 species
CCUACGGGAUGCUGCAGUGGGGAAUAUUGGACAAUGGGCGAAAGCCUGAUCCAGCCAUGCCGCGUGUGUGAAGAAGGCCUUCGGGUUGUAAAGCACUUUCAGUGGGGAAGAAAGCCUUGGGGCUAAUACCCUCGAGGAAGGACAUCACCCACAGAAGAAGCACCGGCUAACUCCGUGCCAGCAGCCGCGGUAAUACGGAGGGUGCGAGCGUUAAUCGGAAUUACUGGGCGUAAAGCGCGCGUAGGCGGUCUGAUAAGCCGGUUGUGAAAGCCCCGGGCUCAACCUGGGAACGGCAUCCGGAACUGUCAGGCUAGAGUGCAGGAGAGGAAGGUAGAAUUCCCGGUGUAGAGGUGAAAUGCGUAGAGAUCGGGAGGAAUACCAGUGGCGAGGGCGGCCUUCUGGACUGACACUGACGCUGAGGUGCGAAAGCGUGGGUAGCAAACAGGAUUAGAUACCCCAGUAGUC